GAUUUUAUAGUUUACGUAUGAGAAUUUCAAAUUGCAAACUUGAAGGUACCUUGUAGGUUAAAAUCU
rnacentral:tRNA from 1 species